GCGCAGUAGUUUGACACUCGCAUCGGGAGCGCGGGCGUCCACAGCCGUAAACACCCAACUUUUGAAUGUUACCUCGGAUCAGGAGGAAUCCCGUGACUAAGAUUAUAGGGGGGAAGCGGUGAACCAGCGGAGGGAUCAUUAC
rnacentral:rRNA from 1 species